rnacentral:rRNA from 1 species
CCUACGGGUGGCAGCAGUGGGGAAUAUUGCACAAUGGGCGCAAGCCUGAUGCAGCCAUGCCGCGUGUGUGAAGAAGGCCUUCGGGUUGUAAAGCACUUUCAGCGGGGAGGAAGGCGUUAAGGUUAAUAACCUUGUCGAUUGACGUUACCCGCAGAAGAAGCACCGGCUAACUCCGUGCCAGCAGCCGCGGUAAUACGGAGGGUGCAAGCGUUAAUCGGAAUUACUGGGCGUAAAGCGCACGCAGGCGGUCUGUCAAGUCGGAUGUGAAAUCCCCGGGUUCAACCUGGGAACUGCAUUCGAAACUGGCAGGCUAGAGUCUUGUAGAGGGGGGUAGAAUUCCAGGUGUAGCGGUGAAAUGCGUAGAGAUCUGGAGGAAUACCGGUGGCGAAGGCGGCCCCCUGGACAAAGACUGACGCUCAGGUGCGAAAGCGUGGGGAGCAAACAGGAUUAGAUACCCUAGUAGUC